AGGUUAAUCUUGACUUGAAAAAUGAAAGAAGUAACACUGAUACUUGUAUGUGGCAUCCUUCUUGUUGAAUGUGUUAUAGCUGGAAAUAUGUCAGUUGAUUUCACAAUCGACUAUAUUGAUUAUGAAGACCCAAACACCGCAUCUCUCAGUUACAUUGAAGACGAACCAACCUCCCCCUCUCCCUUCUUCACUGCUCAAGCCAGUGGGACUACUGGCCAAAAUAGAUCCAUUGAUUUCAUAUUGGAGUAUAAUUAUGACGAUUAUGCCAGUGGGAGUACUGGCCGAACCGCGGAGAAAACUGGAGGCUUGCUCACCCUCUUCUUGGUCUUUUGGAACAACUGGUGUUAGCUACAGGAACUCUAAAGCACAGGGUGUGACACUGCCUCUUGAUCCUGCCUCAAUAAACAUAAAGUGUGUUAAACAAAUAGGUUAAACACAGACAACAGUGCCUCUUUGAACAAUGUCGAAGUUGGACGGGGAGAUGUUUCAUGUUAGUCCACUGCACUGCAGCAGAGAUAGUAUCACGUUCACAAGGUCUGACGGGCAUAAAACUGGGGGCUGUGAAACGAAACCUAAAAGUCAACUGAAACAAAAAGGAUUGUCAAAUGUCUGAAGCUUUGAGAACUCUGGAACUCCUUAAUAAGAAACAACAGACAACAUCUCUGAUGCGCAGCAAAGACGACAAAGAAGAACUUGUCUAAAACACAGGGCACCUGCACAGAAUUUACAAAAUGGACACUUACAUCAGAAGAGGGUUCUAAUCAUAUUUAUGUCGAUGAGGCCCUAACCCAGUCACAGGUCACAGAACUCUUGUUUAUGUGUGACUUAGUUGUGUGUACAAGUAUUCUAGAUCUUGGUAAAUCCUUGGUGCUAUGUUUCACCUCUCUGAUAUUUGGGCAAUCUAGCCCAAAACAGUAUCACAAUAAAAUGUCACAAUAAAUGUCACAUUUUUUAUAACAAUAAACAUCAGUGCAUAUUGAUCAUUA